AUUGAACGCUGGCGGCAGGCCUAACACAUGCAAGUCGAGCGGGGACUUCGGUCCUAGCGGCGAACGGGUGAGUAAUGCUUGGGAAUCUGCCCAGUAGUGGGGGAUAACGUCCCGAAAGGGACGCUAAUACCGCAUACGUCCUACGGGAGAAAGAGGGGGAUCUUCGGACCUCUCGCUAUUGGAUGAGCCCAAGUCGGAUUAGCUAGUUGGUAGGGUAAUGGCCUACCAAGGCGACGAUCCGUAGCUGGUCUGAGAGGAUGAUCAGCCACACUGGAACUGAGACACGGUCCAGACUCCUACGGGAGGCAGCAGUGGGGAAUAUUGGACGAUGGGCGAAAGGUUGAUCCAGCCAUGCCGCGUGUGUGAAGAAGGCCUUCGGGUUGUAAAGCACUUUAAGCGGGGAGGAAGGUUCGCGGCCUAAUACGUCGCGGAAUUGACGUUACCCGCAGAAUAAGCACCGGCUAACUCUGUG
rnacentral:rRNA from 1 species